AAUUAAAAGCUUUGAAAUGACCUUGAAUCUAAAGCUGUCUUGAAGUAAAUGUAUGGCUUUUCUUCAUUGCAGAAGAGGUUAGGUACAAUGGUGAGCUGUGCUGCACGGUGGAACGCAUAAUGGCGGCCUUGGGUGAAGGUGGGAGGUAUCCAGAGCGCAGCCAGGCACUGGCUGGCCGCACACAUCUCUAGUUGAAAACAAAUGUAAAAAUGAAGUGGGCUGUUAUGUGGAAAUAACCAGAGAACAGGACAAUGUGCUCAUGCCUAAUUGCUUUGGAACUUUUUCUUUUAAACAGUUAACUCUAAAAAUAAUAAUGAAAUUCUUUCUCGUGUUCUUUUUGAGCCACUGCUUUUUGUAUUGAGCUGUGAUUAGGAAUUCUGAUUUUUUUUUUUUUACUACAAGAAGGUAUCCUGUUUGUCAGUAAGGAAGAUAAUGCCCCGUAGCUCUUAAUGUGAUGCACUGCUACAGAGUAAGCUAGAAUGUGCUGGAAUCUCUUGUGGCUUAUCGUAUAGAUGCUCAAAGAAAAGCCUCCUCCCAUCUUGCCCUUCUCUGGGGCAGGGCUCAAGCUGCUUUCAUCUCAUUCAGUCUUUGCUGAUCAGGUCGUGCUGGGAUUAGUGAUUUUGGUAGGAUGAAAUAUUUCCAAGCUUGUCCAGGGUUUAUAGCUGGUAUGGGGUGAGGUAGGCCGGUGCUCAAAUGAUGAGCCUUGAGCUGCAACGCUGGCCAAGCAGAACGUGGCCCAUCUGUGAAAUGUGGUGGACAGCGGGGCUCCUGAGGUGGGAGUGCUCCUAUUUUGAUUUCAUAGGGUGUUUAAUUUCUGUGUAACACAAGGAGAGAACUCAAAUGUCUCUGGUCUGUAAGCAUGAAGGUGUCGGGUGCUGCUGAGCCAGCUGCCAGGGGAGCAGUGCUGGGAUGGAGGCAGUCAUGGUGGCACUCUGGCCUGGUUCUGCUCGGCAUGGCCUGGUGACUGGAGCAGUCCCCUUGAGCAUUUGUAUGGCAAAUGCUGUAGGAGUGUGUAAAGCAAGGGAAAGAUUAACUUCUGCUGGAAGCUGAUGGGAGCUGCUGUGGUGUUUUUUGGUUUUUUUUUUUGUUCAUUUUAAUGGAGCACUGGUUAACUGCUAUGCCUGUACUUACUUAAAUUAGAAUUAAAGCUUCAGAUUUGUCUUUAGAGCAUCAGUAUACCAUAAACUCACUUGAAAAUGAUUUUUCCACUGAGAAGAAUGGGAGCUUUGUUUUUUAAAAAAAACUGUAUUUUUCCUGUGUUUAAGAUAAUCUCCUAGUACAAUUGGAGACAAAUAUCCUCAAAUAUCUGAAUGCUAGGAAUGAUGCUUCUCUGUUAGAAUUAGAACUAUUUUCUAGUUCUCAAACACCUUUCUGAUAUGCUUUUCAUGAUGCUUCAAUGUGCUACCGCACUUAAAAGCUAAUAAGACAUGGCAUCCCACAAAAUGAGAUUACAGCACUAGACAGAUGUGGAUGGAAUGAGGCCCAAGGAGAAAGGAAAGUUUCUGGAAUUGUGAGCAGCAGGAGCUAAUGCAGUUUGCAAACACAGCAGACAGUAAGCAGAGGGAGGUGGUGAGAGAGAAUCAAAUUUCCCAUUUCUUGUGUGUGUGCAGUCCUCAUCCCUAGGAGGCCAAAUGCUUAACAUAAGCUUUUCAUGCAAUGAAACCCAAAGCUGGUGUUGGUAGGGCUGCAAGGGAAGCAUGCCCAGUACUGGAAGGCUGUAAGUCACUGAAUUUUGUGGAAGUUGUUUGAAUCGGUAAUAGAGGAAGGAAAGCAUUUUUAACAGUGCAGAAAUGCAGAAUGCCAGCAGUAGGCUCCUAUAUAUGGUACAGUGAGCAUACCUGCUGCAACUCAACUACCUUGUUUGGUAAUUAAGCUUUAUAGGAAUGUGCUCUACCCUAGGCCAUUAGAAAGCUUUCACUCUUCCUAAUGCAGUGUUCUAAUGUUGAUUGUGCGUUCAGUAGUUGAUUUUAGUGGUUCAGUCUUUGUGUAGUAACAAUGGAGGAGUUUGUUUUAAUGUGUAGUGCUUACACCUAUUUUUCACAUUCUAGGGUUCUGUCGAGGCCCUUCCACAGAGCAUGAUUCAUCCACUACUACAGAUGUGGAGCAGAUGAGUUCUUCUCCUGUCCUUCCUAUGAACUCCAUGGCCAUGUGACUCUGUGCCUGUAGCAUUCUGUGACCACAACACUGCGCUGCUCAGCAUCUAAAAUGUGAAUUUGGAAUUCCACAGUACUCCAUCUAGUGGUGUCUGCUGUGUCCGAGGAGCAAAUGCAUUCUGUUGGUUAGAAUCCGCUAGAUGGCAACAAGUCGUUGUCAGAUGUAAUGGACCAAAUUCAAAACAAUUGUAUUCUGAACAGGGGGAUGAUCUCUGUGCAAGUUUUUCAUUUAAAACAACUUAUGUCAUUUUUGAAGUUUUCAAGUGUGGCAGACUAUGAACAGACAUUCAUUUAAAAGCAAUGCUCAGAUGUUCCCAGCUGCCUGUCCUGUUUCAGGACACCGGCCUUGCCUCCUGUUGUUGUGCUGGUGGCACUUAAUUUAUUGGGGAACUUUGAAGCUUUGGAGAACUGUGGUUCCUCUGCCAUGAGAAACGUAGAGCUAAUGAAAAUAUUGCUUAAUGUUCUGUUGAAUCUUUGUAGCCUGACAUAGAUUAGACUUUAUGCAUGAGAGGCCUCAAUGUAGUAAAAAGUAUUAAAACAGAACUUAAUUUUCAUCAUAUUCUCACACGAGCAUAUUAUCUGCCAAAUACUAAAAGCAAAGGCUGUCUAAUGUGAGUUGAGCAACCUUCUUUUUUUCCCUUAAGUAAUUGUUUAUUAUUCCUAGUCUGGAUGUGUCUAGCUACAGCUUUCUUGUCUGUUAUCUUUGAACUGAAAAAUGCCUGUCAAACUUUUGUUCCAUAUGAAGAUAUUUUAUAUAAACUUCUGAUACACUAAAUAAACUGAGCUCUUUGAGUUCUUUCGAUGUC